AAAAUUUCAACUGACAUUGGAAGUUUUGAUAAAGAUCACUUGCAUUAUCGAUAGUAACUGAAUUGAAGAGAUUUAAAUACGAACAAUCAUAGAAAUGAAACGAAUCGUAGGGCAAAGGUAACUUGGCACAGACGUAUUCGUCAUUGGGAUCCGUAGGUCUGUUAUUCCGUAUGUUCUUAAUUUAUUCUAAAUUUGGGAUACUAAGUAUCUUCAAGCUAUAUGGAGACACUACUUUCAUUAUUUUACGACUUAUACAUUAUUUUUAGAUAAAAACGACGGUUAUGUAUUGGAAUAACGAAAAUUAAGUUCGUGUCAUUAGUCAACAAUCUUCUUAAUCUACUGUAAAACAAGUUAAAAUUCAACAGGAAGUACCCGGUUAGACUGUAGUUAUCCAUAGAAAGUAAGAUAAAAUAGAAAGUCUAGGAGACCAUGUAUACGCGGCAAAUUCAAACGCGUAUUGUGACGCGCUACAAUGCGGAAGUAACGAGGAGAAAAAGAGAAAGGAUUCGAUUCGGACGAAAUUCCAUGGAAAAGUUGUAAAAUAUGACACACACACGCACACGUGUCUCCGUUAGGCGUUUACGUCAUGUAUCCAAGAUGGGCUAUGCUUGUACAAAAACGAAUCACUGAAAUGAAACGGAGAGACGCAAAUUGCAAAUGCGAAAUGUUUAAUUUUAUACAUCGUGGAUGUAACAUCGAAGCGUUGAAAGAGAGGCCAGAAAAUGCGGAAGAAUAAUAAAGAGAGAUAUAAUAACAUUCGUUGAAUCGAGUAGGAAAGUACGCGCUAAAACGAAUGUUUAUUUUUCCUUUUGUUG